rnacentral:rRNA from 1 species
GACGAACGCUGGCGGCGUGCCUAAUACAUGCAAGUCGAACGCACCUAUCCUCACGUUUCCCUGCACUCAAUAGGAACGAGGAGUGGAGGAACGCGGAGAAACCCGUUGUAAACCUACCCAACAGAUGGGGAAAACACUAGGAAACAGGUGCUAAUAUCUUAAAACAUUUUCUUCCGCAUGGCAAAAGAGUUUUCCGGGCAUUUCGGGGUGGCUCCUGGCCGCACCCGCGGUGCGUUAACUAGUUGGUUAGGUAACGGCUCACCAAGGCGACGACGCGUAGCCGACCUGAGAGGGUGAUCGGCCACACUGGAACUGAGACACGGCCCAGACUCCUACGGGAGGCAGCAGUAGGGAAUCUUCGGCAAUGGACGAAAGUCUGACGGAGCAACGCCGCGUGAGUGAUGAAGGUCUUCGGAUCGUAAAACUCUGUUGUUAGGGAAGAACAAGUGUGUAAGUAACUGUGCGCGCCUUGACGGUACCUAACCAGAAAGCCACGGCUAACUACGUG